rnacentral:lncRNA from 10 species
AAAGGCUUUGUACCAGGUGUCUGGAAGGUAGUGUUCCGAUCCAAGCUGCUCUUCUGCCUGGAACUGUCUUCCUCAGUUCUGUUGCUGCUCACUCUUUGGAUCCACCAUGCGUUUAUGAGCUGUAACACUCAUUGCGAAGGUCUGCAGCUUCAGUCCUGAAGCAGCGAGACCACGAACCCACCGGGAGGAACGAACAACUCCAGAUGCGCCGCCUUAAGAGCUGUAAGACUCACCGCGAAGGUCCGCAGCUUCACUCCUGAGCCAGCGAGACCACGAACCCCACCAGAAGGAAGAAACUCCGCACACAUCGGAACAUCAGAAGGAACAAACUCCGGACACACUGCCUUUAAGAACUGUAACACUGCGAGGGUCCGCGGCUUCAUUCUUGAAGUGAGUGAGACCAAGAACCUACCAAUUCUGGACACAAUAUCACAUGAGCUCCAAUGUGGUAUCGAGAUGAAGGGGAAAAGGGAAAUGGGGAAAUUUUUUGCUGGGGGUGUUCCCAGAUGAAUUCUUUGCUUUAUGUGCUUAGAACUCCUUGCUUUUGUAGGUGGACGUGUGGUAAAAUGUGUUAUAUUUGCAGCCAUUGUACAGCUAUGCCAUUGUGGAGAAUCUUAGGCUUCUUGUGGGGAAAGUAUCUGGGAGCUUGUGUGUUGGUCACAUUUCUAUCAUGUCAUGUCUGAGAUGCCUCCCUGGAAGUGAAGACAGCCGUAUCAGAAGUACUGAUCCAGCACUGGAUGGGAAUCUCACACACACAUGCACACACACACGCACACCCCGCAUACCUGCUAGGGGCUGACAGCAUAUGCUUUGAUGUGCAUUGGCACGGAUGAGUCAAUACGCUUGUUGAAACCAGAGAGAAAAAUAUGUCAUGUUUUUCCCAAACGGUGUUAAGAAAGUACAAAUAAAAAGAAAAGCAUUCAAACUGACCACAUGUAAUUAGACUAGGUGAAUACCCUGCCUUCCUCAUUCCCUCACUGAGCCUCCCUAAGAUAUGCUUUUGGAAUAGAUACAUGUAUUUUUUUUUUUCCACAACAGGAGAAACUCGUCUUGAGUGUCUUCUGCUUUUAUUAUAAAAAUAGUUGGAUUAAUGAGGCACUGACUGGCAGUGGAACAGUCUAGCAGAUCCCAUUAAUCUGAAUGCAUCACAUCUGAUAUUAUUGUUCAAAAGCCCUCUUCCCUCUCCCUCUCUUAUCAUCUUUCUCCAAAAUAAAGAAUAUUAUUUUUUAAAUUUCGAAAGCAAUGAAGGCCCCAGUGAGUGUAUUUAUCAUGAAUUAAUCUCCUUCCUAGGAGAUUGAAGGUCCUCUGGGUGGGCCUUGCUGCUAAUAUCAUCCUCCUGAGUGUGCAGUCAUCUUCUAAUAAGCAUGGUCUCUAUCAUUAUUGCUUAAUAGCUUUAUUAGAUUACCUACGACGAAGGCUGUCCCAGGCCUUAGUCAAAGACAGUUUAGACAGUUCCGUUGGAAGGGCUGGCGGCCUGGAGCAGGAUGACACCCCUGGGGCUGGAGUGUUGAAUGGAGGAUGUGUCUCAACCCCCCUGGGCCUGCUCUUGCCUCAAAGUACUUAGUGGUUGGCCCAAGGGCUGGCACUCCUCAGGGCCCUGGCCCCUGCCUUGGGUAUGCUAAAGUGUGAGUAAGUGUUAGAGUGCUCUUGACUUCAGUCCUUAUAUGUAUUUUUAAAAAUGGUGCGAGGUGUGAUAGGGGUCACGCAGUGAAGCAAACCAGAAACCAGC